rnacentral:rRNA from 1 species
GAUGAACGCUGGCGGCGUGCCUAAUACAUGCAAGUCGAGCGAACAGACGAGGAGCUUGCUCCUCUGACGUUAGCGGCGGACGGGUGAGUAACACGUGGAUAACCUACCUAUAAGACUGGGAUAACUUCGGGGAACCGGAGCUAAUACCGGAUAAUAUAUUGAACCGCAUGGUUCAAUAGUGAAAGACGGUUUUGCUGUCACUUAUAGAUGGAUCCGCGCCGCAUUAGCUAGUUGGUAAGGUAACGGCUUACCAAGGCAACGAUGCGUAGCCGACCUGAGAGGGAGAUCGGCCACACUGGCACUGAGACACGGUCCAGACUCCUACGGGGGGCAGCAGUAGGGAAUCUUCCGCAAUGGGCGAAAGCGUGACGGAGCAAAGCCGCGUGAGUGAUGAAGGUCUUCGGAUCGUAAAACUCUGUUAUUAGGGAAGAACAAAUGUGUAAGUAACUAUGCACGUCUUGACGGUACCUAAUCAGAAAGCCACGGCUAACUACGUG